UGCAUAGAUCUGAGCAGAGGAAAUGG
rnacentral:misc_RNA from 1 species